rnacentral:rRNA from 1 species
GUCCCGAGCGUUAUCCGGAUUUAUUGGGCGUAAAGCGAGCGCAGGCGGUUAGAUAAGUCUGAAGUUAAAGGCUGUGGCUUAACCAUAGUACGCUUUGGAAACUGUUUAACUUGAGUGCAGAAGGGGAGAGUGGAAUUCCAUGUGUAGCGGUGAAACGCGUAGAUAUAUGGAGGAACACCGGUGGCGAAAGCGGCUCUCUGGUCUGUAACUGACGCUGAGGCUCGAAAGCGUGGGGAGCAAACAGGAUUAGAUACCCUGGUAGUCAAGGGCGAAUUCGC